AUACCCUAUUAUUUUUAAUGUAAAAUUGGAGCUUGAGUAUUAAUAGCUAUGAUCUUUAAACUUAAAGAAUUUGGCGGUAUUAUAGUCUAUUUAGAGGAAUCUGUUAUGUAAUCGAUAGUCCCCGUUGAACCUUACUUUCUUUAAUUCUUGUAUAUCGCUGUUUGUGAAGAUAUUUUUAGAUUAUUUUCUAGAUCAAUUAUUAUUAAAAAUUUCAAGUCAAGGUGCAGUAAUAUGAAAGUUUAUCGAUGGAUUACAAUAAAUUUUAUUUAAAUGGAUAAUUAUUUAAAAUUAAUUUGAAGGUGGAUUUAAUUGUAAUUUUAUGAAGAUUGUUAUUGUGAUUAAUAGCUCUAUAGUAUGUACACAUCGCCC
rnacentral:rRNA from 1 species